rnacentral:rRNA from 1 species
GACGAACGCUGGCGGCGUGCUUAACACAUGCAAGUCGAACGAAGUGGGGAACGGGUGAGUAAUACGUGGGUAACCUGCGCUACUUUUUGGGAUAAGCCUUGGAAACGGGGUCUAAUACCGAAUACAGGGGGAUGGGCUCGCUGCCUAUCAGCGUGUUGGUGGGGUGCUGGCCUACCAAGGCGGUGGCGGGUAGCCGCCCUGAGGGGGUGACCGGCCACAUGGGGACUGCGGUACCGCCCAGCCGCCUACGCGGGGCAGCAGUGGGGGGUAUUGCGCAAUGGGCGACAGCCGGAUGCAGCGACGCGGCGUGGGGAAUGAGGGCUUUUGGGUUGUAAACCUCUUUCUCUAUCGAGCGGGUAUGUGGAGAAGAAGCGCCGGCUAACUACGUGCCAGCAGCCGCGGUAAUUC